rnacentral:rRNA from 1 species
CUGGAAACGGCGUCUAAUACUGGAUAUGUGACGUGACCGCAUGGUCUGCGUUUGGAAAGAUUUUUCGGUUGGGGAUGGGCUCGCGGCCUAUCAGCUUGUUGGUGAGGUAAUGGCUCACCAAGGCGUCGACGGGUAGCCGGCCUGAGAGGGUGACCGGCCACACUGGGACUGAGACACGGCCCAGACUCCUACGGGAGGCAGCAGUGGGGAAUAUUGCACAAUGGGCGAAAGCCUGAUGCAGCAACGCCGCGUGAGGGAUGACGGCCUUCGGGUUGUAAACCUCUUUUAGCAGGGAAGAAGCGAAAGUGACGGUACCUGCAGAAAAAGCGCCGGCUAACUACGUGCCAGCAGCCGCGGUAAUACGUAGGGCGCAAGCGUUAUCCGGAAUUAUUGGGCGUAAAGAGCUCGUAGGCGGUUUGUCGCGUCUGCUGUGAAAUCCCGAGGCUCAACCUCGGGCCUGCAGUGGGUACGGGCAGACUAGAGUGCGGUAGGGGAGAUUGGAAUUCCUGGUGUAGCGGUGGAAUGCGCAGAUAUCAGGAGGAACACCGAUGGCGAAGGCAGAUCUCUGGGCCGUAACUGACGCUGAGGAGCGAAAGGGUGGGGAGCAAACAGGCUUAGAUACCCUGGUAGUCCACCCCGUAAACGUUGGGAACUAGUUGUGGGGUCCAUUCCACGGAUUCCGUGACGCAGCUAACGCAUUAAGUUCCCCGCCUGGGGAGUACGGCCGCAAGGCUAAAACUCAAAGGAAUUGACGGGGACCCGCACAAGCGGCGGAGCAUGCGGAUUAAUUCGAUGCAACGCGAAGAACCUUACCAAGGCUUGACAUAUACGAGAACGGGCCAGAAAUGGUCAACUCUUUGGACACUCGUAAACAGGUGGUGCAUGGUUGUCGUCAGCUCGUGUCGUGAGAUGUUGGGUUAAGUCCCGCAACGAGCGCAACCCUCGUUCUAUGUUGCCAGCACGUAAUGGUGGGAACUCAUGGGAUACUGCCGGGGUCAACUCGGAGGAAGGUGGGGAUGACGUCAAAUCAUCAUGCCCCUUAUGUCUUGGGCUUCACGCAUGCUACAAUGGCCGGUACAAAGGGCUGCAAUACCGUGAGGUGGAGCGAAUCCCAAAAAGCCGGUCCCAGUUCGGAUUGAGGUCUGCAACUCGACCUCAUGAAGUCGGAGUCGCUAGUAAUCGCAGAUCAGCAACGCUGCGGUGAAUACGUUCCCGGGUCUUGUACACACCGCCCGUCAAGUCAUGAAAGUCGGUAACACCUGAAGCCGGUGGCCUAACCCUUGUGGAGGGAGCCGUCGAAGGUGGGAUCGGUAAUAGGAUAUCAGAAGGGGGCCCCCCACACACACAAAAAAGGG